AUUGAACGCUGGCGGAAUGCUUUACACAUGCAAGUCGAACGGCAGCACGGACUUCGGUCUGGUGGCGAGUGGCGAACGGGUGAGUAACAUAUCGGAACGUAUCCAAUAAUGGGGGAUAACGAGUCGAAAGAUUCGCUAAUACCGCAUACGCCCUACGGGGGAAAGCUGGGGACCUUCGGGCCUGGCGUUAAUGGAGCGGCCGAUAUCUGAUUAGCUAGUUGGUGAGGUAAGGGCGGACCAAGGCGAGGAUCAGUAGCUGGUCUGAGAGGACGACCAGCCACACUGGAACUGAGACGCGGUCCAGCCUCCUACGGGAGGCAGCAGUGGGGAAUUUUGUACAAUGGGCGCAAGCCUGAUCCAGCCAUUCCGCGUGAGUGAAGAAGGCCUUCGGGUUGUAAAGCUCUUUCGCAAGGGAAGAAAACUUAGCCACUAACAUUGGUUGAGGUUGACGGUACCUUGAUAAGAAGCACCGGCUAACUACGUGCCAGCCGCCGCGGUAA
rnacentral:rRNA from 1 species